rnacentral:rRNA from 1 species
UACGUAGGGGGCUAGCGUUGUCCGGAUUUAUUGGGCGUAAAGAGCGUGUAGGCGGCCAGACAGGUCAGCUGUGAAAACUCGAGGCUCAACCUCGAGACGUCGGUUGAAACCGUCUGGCUAGAGUCCGGAAGAGGAGGGUGGAAUUCCCGGUGUAGCGGUGAAAUGCGCAGAUAUCGGGAAGAACACCCGUGGCGAAGGCGGCUCUCUGGGACGGUACUGACGCUGAGACGCGAAAGCGUGGGGAGCGAACAGG